rnacentral:rRNA from 1 species
UACGUAGGGGGCAAGCGUUGUCCGGAAUCAUUGGGCGUAAAGAGCGUGUAGGCGGCCCGAUAAGUCCGCUGUGAAAGUCCAGGGCUCAACCCUGGGAUGCCGGUGGAUACUGUCGGGCUCGAGUCCGGAAGAGGAGAGUGGAAUUCCUGGUGUAGCGGUGAAAUGCGCAGAUAUCAGGAAGAACACCCGUGGCGAAGGCGGCUCUCUGGGACGGUACUGACGCUGAGACGCGAAAGCGUGGGGAGCGAACAGG